rnacentral:rRNA from 1 species
AGUAGCCGCGGUAAUUCCAGCUCCAAUAGCGUAUAUUAAAGUUGUUGCAGUUAAAAAGCUCGUAGUUGAAUUUCGGGAUCAAUGCGUCGGUCGUGCUUUCGGGUACGUACUGGUGUCAUUGGUUUCUCCUUUCUGACGAGCCGUGAUGUCAUUAAUUUGGUGUUACGGGUAGUUAGGACUGUUACUUUGAAAAAAUUAGAGUGUUUAAAGCAGGCAUUCGCUUGAAUACAUUAGCAUGGAAUAAUGAAAUAGGACGUUCGACCCUAUUUUGUUGGUUUCUAGGAUCAACGUAAUGAUUAAUAGGGAUAGUUGGGGGCAUUAGUAUUCAAUUGUCAGAGGUGAAAUUCUUGGAUUUAUUGAAGACUAACUACUGCGAAAGCAUUUGCCAAGGAUGUUUUCAUUAAUCAAGAACGAAAGUUAGGGGAUCGAAGACGAUCAGAUACCGUCGUAGUCUUAACCAUAAACUAUGCCGACUAGGGAUCGGAUGAUGUUAAUUUUUUAAUGACUCAUUCGGCGCCUU